rnacentral:ncRNA from 1 species
GCGUAGAAUGGCGGCGCAGGUGUCCAACGGCCGAUCAGCCGAAGGGUGAAACGGGAAGUUCGUGCAAAGCGAACACUGCCCCCGCAACGGUAAGUGGGAAGCCACGGCGUACACGCCACUGGGCCGGAUCGCGGCCUGGGAAGGUGCCGAUGGCAUGGCCCACGAGUCCGGAGACCGGCCUGUGCAGCCUCGACUUC